rnacentral:rRNA from 1 species
AUUGAACGCUGGCGGCAUGCUUUACACACGCAAGUCGAACGGCAGCACGGGUGCUUGCACCUGGUGGCGAGUGGCAAACGGGUGAGUAAUGCACCGGAACGUAUCCAAUAAUGGGGGAUAACGCACCGAAAGGUGUGCUAAUACCGCAUACGCCCUGAGGGGGAAAGCGGGGGACCGUAAGGCCUCGCGUUACUGGAGCGGCCGAUGCCGGAUUAGCUAGUUGGUUAGGUAAAGGCUCACCAAGGCGACGAUCCGUAGCUGGUCUGAGAGGACGACCAGCCCAUCUGGGACUGAGACACGGCCCAGAAUCCUACGGGAGGCAGCAGUGGGGAAUUUUGGACAAUGGGCGCAAGCCUGAUCCAGCCAUGCCGCGUGAGUGAAGAAGGCCUUCGGGUUGUAAAGCUCUUUCGCAAGGAAAGAAAACUCAUCUCCUAAUACGGGGUGAGGAUGACGGUACCUUGAUAAGAAGCACCGGCUAACUACGUGCCAGCCGCCGCGGUAA